UACGUAGGGUGCAAGCGUUAAUCGGAAUUACUGGGCGUAAAGCGUGCGCAGGCGGUUAUGUAAGACAGAUGUGAAAUCCCCGGGCUCAACCUGGGAAUUGCAUCUGUGACUGUAUAGCUAGAGUACGGUAGAGGGGGAUGGAAUUCCGCGUGUAGCAGUGAAAUGCGUAGAUAUGCGGAGGAACACCGAUGGCGAAGGCAAUCCCCUGGACCUGUACUGACGCUCAUGCACGAAAGCGUGGGGAG
rnacentral:rRNA from 1 species